UACAGAUUUUGUGCCAACCUGUCACUCAAUCGUUAUAACUUUUAAAAUAUUUUUAUAUUGAGACAUUACAACAAAAACUGAGGGGGCACAAGUUUCAACUGAGGGGGCUAAUCCCCCUUUUGACUAAUCGUGGAACCGGGCCAGCUACAGUAUAGAGUAUAUUUUUUAUUUGAAAAAUUAUUUCUCACUGAUAUGAAAGAUACGUUUCGAAAACCGGUUUGAACGCGAUUAUUAUUUACUUUUCUAAACGUUAAAACAGAGCGUCGAAUGUUUGUUUACAUUGAGACAAAUGCGGGUGUAACACCUGAACCCCUGAAAACCAACAUACAGAGAAGGGUUUUCGAGAGCUAACGUUAGCAUACUGUAGUUAUCAGCUGAUUUAGUAGUCACACCAUGAUUAACUGUAUAUGGCAAUAAGGACGACGACAGUCAUUAAAACCAAAUGUAUAUACCGUUACUGUAUAGGUUAUUGGAUGAUCUAGACGACUUAAAAAUGUAAAAUAAACAAAAAUCCUCUAUCAAUUUUAGCUAGCUAGGUACAUUACCUUGAUUUGUUUCCGGAUGUGCGGAUGGGAUGUUGCGAAUCUUUGUUUCACUACGAACAAGUAAAUAGAGGGCACCGUAUCUCAAGACAUGACUGGAGAGAAACACUGUUUGGAGCACUGUACCUAGUCAAUUCACUUUGCUGUUUAAUGUAUGCAACUUGCUACAAUGAGUUCAGAUUCGGUUAUAUUGUUGGAGACGGUGACAUUUUCUGCUGAAAACCACCAAGAUCAACGGACUAAAGACCCCAAAGAAACCAACUAUCCAAUAGGCACCGUAGCCUCUCCCUAUUACCUAUCAAUGAUGUAGCUAUAUAAAAAUCAUUCGUACUAAUGUGGUGGAAAACUGGAUUUUUUAAAGCAAAUACCAAGUUGGCAGCAUCCAGCACUCACCAUGUUUCUUUCCUUUAUCCUGAAGAUCCUCUUUUCACCAUUUAGAUGCACCAGGUCCCUAGCAGAGCAAACCUUCCUCAUCUUAAUUCCAACAUCAUCACCCGUCUCCAUCAUAACCAUGUUCUCUUCUUUGUUGUCAAUAAUAUGUUUACAGGUGUGGACCAAAGACUCAAAAGAAAGGAAAACAAACCCAAAACACAAAGGAGAGGACGAAAGAGGUGUCCGGUGGAUGGCUGUCAAGUCACCGUCAUUUACCUACCUCGUCACCUGCGGCAGGUCCAUGAGUGGGGCAGAGAUUCCACUGCACUAAAGAUUUCACAAUUGCACUGCACUAAUAUCUAACUAGUAAUCUAACAAUUCCACAAACACUACCUAAUACACAGAAAUCUAAGUAAAGGGAUGGAAUAAGAAUAUAUACAUAUAAAUAUAUGGAUGAGCAAUGACCGAGCGGCAUAGGCAAAAUGCAAUAGAUGGUAUAAAAGUACAGUAUAUACAUAUGGGAUGAGUAAUGCAAGAUAUGUAAACAUUAUUAAAGUGACAGUAGCAAGUAAAUAACAGUCUUUGUAAACUACUUCUACUCUGUAAUUGCCAGUUUUUUAUGUCAAAUGUUUCCGGAGGAGAGGACUUACCUGUUCCAGUGGAUGUCUUUCCAUCUUCUGAGGAUUCAACUGACAACGAGAGCCCACAAACACACAGAGGCGAGGACUUACACAUCCCAGCGGAUGUCUUUCCAUCUUCUGAAGUGUCUUUCUACAACAACAGCCCCAUAACAAAUGAAAACACACCACAGAUACAGUCAACAUCAGAAGUCUUCAUUCAACCUGAACAGUAAACAGAGGAGAGGACGAAAGAGGUGUCCGGUGGAUGGCUGCCAGGUCACCGUCAUUCACCUUCCUCAUCACCUGCGGCAGGUUCAAGAGUGGGGCUUCCCUAUGGCUCAGUUGGUAGAGCAUGGUGUUUGCAACGCCAGCAUGGUGCGUGCAACGCCAGGGUUGUGGGUUCGAUUCCCACGGGGGGCCAGUACAAAAAAACAAAAUGCAUGAAAUGUAUGCAUUCACUACUGUAAGUCGCUCUGGAUAAGAGCGUCUGCUAAAUGACAAAAUGUAAAAAUGGGGCAGAGAGGAUUCACAGUCUGCAGUGAACACAUUCGGGCCUCAGAGCACCAAGCAGACAUGGUGGCAGCAGCAAGGCUAAGAACAACUAUCACUCCAGGCCUUUCCCCAUGACAGGCUGUCAUGCAGUGGUCAAAAGUCUGCCAGCCCACCUGAGAAAGCAACACAAGCUUGACAAUAACUCUCCUCUAUACAGAGAGCUUCUUACAGCAUCACAGAAGAGAAACAAGGUCAAAUGUCAAUGAAUUAAUUUUAUGAGUCUACUGUGAAUAAUUAUUCUACCUGAUGUAUUGAAGUUUAAUGAGAAAUAUGUAAUUGAAUUGGGACAUGAUUGAACAAGAGAAUAUUUGGGAAAGGAAUAAAGAAAGCGCUAGAACUGCCACACAGCUCGGCAAA